GGCCAUGUGGCCCAAUGGCAAGGCGCUUGACUACGAUCUACUGCGUUAUCAAGAGAUUCCAGGUGUGCAUUACAUAAUCUAAUGAUCACGUGAUCACGCUAAAAUCAACAUAGGUUCGACCCCUGGCAUGGUCA